rnacentral:lncRNA from 1 species
GGUCAAAUGCCUUCUUCUGACCUCAAAAGGCACCACCAAGUUGCAUGUGGUACAUAAGUAUACAUGCAAGCAAAACAAAGUAAAAUGUAUAAAUCUAAAAAUAAAUAAAAGAAUGUAGGUCUGAAAUUGAUUAAAGGCAAGUAUAUAAACACAAUCGUUUGGAAAUAAAUACUGGGAUAGGUUGGUGAAUCUCUCUCUCUCUCUCAAUAUGUGUGUGUAUGUGUAUGAAUAUGAAUGAUGCUGGAGAGAAGGCUCAGGAUUUAGGAGCACUGGCUGCUUUUCCAUAGGACCUUGGUCCUAUUCCCAGUUCCUACUUGGUGGCUCACAAUUAUCUGCAAUUCCAAGGGAAUCUAGUACCUUCUGGUCUCCCUGGGCACUACAUGCAAGUCAUAUACAUAUACAUAUACAUGCAGGCAAAACACUGAAACUUUUUUUUUUUUUUUUUAAAGGAGACAGGGUUUCUGUGUGUAGGCCUGGCUGUCCUGGAACUCACUCUGUAGACCAGGCUGGCCUCGUACUCAGAAAUCCUCCUGCCUCUGCCUCCCAAGUGCUGGGAUUAAAGGUGUGCACCACUGCCCGGCUUGAAACAUAAAAUUUAAAAAUACUUUAAUUUUGAUUAUGUGCCUGUGUGUAUAUGAAUGUAAAUGCAGUGCCCAAAAGAGGUCUGAAGGUGUCAGAUCUUCUACAGGUUGUUGUGAGUCAAAGCAAUGUAUGCUUCUAACUGAUAAACCAUCUCUCUAGCCUCCUUUGCCUAUCUUUUCCUUUAUUUUUUAUUUUAUUUUACUUUGUUUUUAUUUUUUGAGGCAGGGUCUUUAGAUGAGGUUACCUUUAAACACAGAUCCUCCUGUGUCCUUCUUGAGUACUGGGAUUAAAGGCAUACACCACUGUGCCUGGCCAUUUCUUACUAUUUAAUUAAAGAAAUUUAAUGUAUGAUAAUUUUUUUAAUUUCUAAAGCUAAGAAAUAGAGUAGAAGUAACUUUUCUAAAAUUAUUUUUUAAAAUGUGUUUUGCCUGUGUAAACAUCCUUGUUUGUGUGCCUGGUGCCUAUGAAAGCCAAAAAGGGAUGGGUGUCAGAGCCCCCUGAGACUAUUUGCAAAUAGCAAUGACCUGUUUUGUAGGUAUUGAGAAUCUAGCUCAGCUCUACUGGAAGGAAUAGCAGCUAUUGCUCUUAACAACCACUGAACCAUCUCUCCGGUCCUAGAGGUAGCCUUGAAUCUGCCUGUGUUAUGCCUUCUGGUCUCUGUAGAACUUUGGUUUCUUUGAUGUUAGAUGUUGGUAUAUUCGUCAAUUAAAAAGAAGACAUCCAGGCUCAGAUUUUAUUUUAUCUAUCUCAAGAGGUAAGAGAAUUACUUUCUCAUAGGUUUGGUGCAGGAUUGCAUCUGAGUCCUGUUGUGACCUUGUGGAUUUGACUAUAUCUGAGUCCACCAAAAGAUGCCACCAGAGUGGUUCCCUCAUUUGUUGUUAGGUAAUAUCCUUCCCAUCACAGGAAGUAGAAGAAAUUCUGGGAGAAAGAAUAUAGCCACCAUGGCAGUUUUGUGCUGUUUAGAAGACCUCUGAAUGGUGGCUCAUGCCUAUAAUCCUAGCCCUUUUAAAGCCAACUUGAGCUACAGUGUGGAAUCCUGUUUCAAAACAUUAAAACC